GCUGGGUGCGGUGGUGCACGCCUGUAAUCCCAGUGGCUCAGGAGGCUGAGGCAGGAGGAUGGUGAGUUCAAAGCCAGCCUCCAUAACUGUGAGACCCUGUCUCUA
rnacentral:sRNA from 1 species